UUGCAUGGCUAGAAGGGCAUGUUUUGAAGUUUAUAAGGGGUUCAGGUGACUUCAGGAAUGGCAGUGCUACAGGAUGGAAGGGCUAUGAUUCAAAUUUGAUUAAAAUCCCUGGAAUCAGGGAUUUGGAUGACAGCAAAGUGAGCACCCCUAACUUCCCUCUGUUUUUCCAUCUGAUCUUUAUCUCUUUGGUUCCAGCUUGCUUUCUCCACUUAAUAGGGAACAUUGUGAUGUUAUGAAGGUUGUAGGACAUCCACAGUACAGCAUCCUGUAGCUUGAGAAGGUGAGAAGAUGGAGCUGAAGGAGAAGAUGCUAUGAAUUAUCUUGAUUUUGAUGAGAAUAUUAAUUUCAAAUUGAUGAAAGCCAAUGUCAACUAAUACUGACUUUCAAAUUAAAGAAAAAAUAAAAAGCAAAUGUUUUGGAUGACCAUCAGCAGAUGAAUGGAUAAGAAAGCUCUGCAUAGUAUUUCUUUAUAUUCUCAGAAUUGGAUUAUAUAUGCCUUUGAACUAUGCCUUUGAAUAGUCAGAGGAAGCUGAAUCUCUAGAAGUGAGACUGUUCGGCAUCCCUAAAAACACUGGCACUACCUAUGAAUAAGACAGGAAACCACAAGAAAAAGAAUACUUGAAAGACAGCUAGAUACGACUGAAAGGGAGUGACACUACAGGCAAAAGUGCUUUCUGAGUGCCAGCGAUGGUGCUGGGGCGCCGAGAAAAGGACGAUCUGAAUGCAGCGUACUGAUUGGUUUCACGUCCAAGAGCCUCUUAUGCUUUCUGCAUCUUUCAAACUCGGAUGCUUGCCUGGCUUGUGGUACUCUGAAUUGGGCGAGACGAGCAAACCGUGUAUUAGCAGCCAUUGCAGCCUGAAGCUUUGCUUUAUCUCAUCUGGGACUUUUUGUGUUUGUGAGUUUGCAUCCUUGUUCUCCAAAAUGAUGGAAGGCCCCUCAAUACCUGGGUCUGACUUAAGAGAGCCCAGCUUUCAGAUUAAUCCUUGUUCUUCUCAGAAGUUGUUAUUGAAUCUGAUGCUAAUACUGAGUAUUGAGCUUCUGUUCCAUCUCCUACAGAAGAACUGAAAAUUGGAGCAGCUAUUUACCGAUCAUUUCCUUUUGAUCUGGAAGGUUUCAGUGGGUCUGUCUAGUAAGACCUUGAGGAUGCUGUUCACCUAGUCAGAGUAAAACCAUGACUCAGAGUGUGAGAAAAUGGCUCUCAGUUUCCUAGGAUGUUUUAAAUAUAAAAACAUGCUGUGCUUUUGAAUAAAAAGUACAAUUUAAAGCCAGUGGAUGGAAAUUUCCUAUAAAAAGAUACCAAAACUCCCCUCACUCUUCCUAUUCUUAAAAAUAAAAGUUGUUUUCGUCAGAGGAUCUGAGACCAAAAUACAUUUUUUGAAAUGAACUUGGCAGACUGUGAUAAGGCCCAUGAGCCCAGAUUUCUUACCUUGGGCAGCCCCUCCACCAUGCUCCUUCUGAACCCACUGUGCUUGGGUGUCUUACAGUUUCAAAACACAGGGGGAAAAUAGACUUGCAUGACAAAAUUGUUUUUACAUAUAUGUGAUUUUAAUUUGAACCCAGGAAUUACUCUGUGGUUCUAAAAAUAUUUCAGGUUUGUGAAGCUCUAUUACAGAUUAUUUAUAGCAGGUUUAUUACAGAAAGAACUUAAAACCAGUGUCCAACCUAGAGUAUUUACUACUCACCGCACCGCCCGCCUCCCCCACCCCCAUGCUGGUAUGAAGAAAAAGAGCAUGUCUUCAGAAUAUCUGUGUUCAAAUGCCAACUUCAUUCUUUGGCAAGUUACUUAAUUUUCUUAUCUAUAAAAUAUAGAUGCUGAUAUUCACCAUGAACUUCCCCAAUGGCUCAGCAGGUAAUGAACCCACCCCCAGUGUAGGAGAUGCACGAGAUGUAGGUUCAAUCCUGGGUCAGGAAGAUCCCUUGGAGGAGGGCAUGGCAACCCACUCCAGUAUUCUUGCCUGGAGAAUCCCCAUGGACAGAGGAGCCUGGCAGGCUACAGUCCAUGGGGUCUUAAAGAGUAUUGGACAAGACUUAAGGACUAAACAAUUUGAAAAUUUAGCUCUCCAGGCCAGUAUCAUGCUUUGCUCCACCCUAGAUGCCUUCUGGGUGCAUAUUUGGGGGUGGCUCCAGUGGCUGCUGGCUUAGUGGCCGCAACAUCCUUUGUUGAAUGAUAUGGCAAGCAACGUUUUUUCAUCCACAGAGGCAAGGGUAUUAAAUAAGAUGACAUUUUUAAAGCCUGGGCAUUUGAUAAUAUGAGCAGGGGCCAGCAGAUGGUAGUUUAAAUUUUGCCUAUUUUCUGACUCUUUAAUUUCUGGGAAUGGCCAGACAUUUUGAAAAAUUACUAUCUCCACCAUGGGGUUGCAUAGUCAGACAUAAACAUUCAUGAAUUAUACCAACAUUCACAAAUUAGAUUCGAAACAGGACUCAAACAAUUUGUUUAAAUGCUAAUGUAACAAGAGGAAUUGCAUGCAUGCAAAUGAACACCUGUGAAAAUUCUUAGGCAAGAGCUGCUAAGUUUAGCAACAUUGGGUUAGCCAUUUGAGAGCGGGAAUCUCUUUUGGGGCCAGAUGUCCAGUUUUGAAAGCUGUACUGUGUUGGGCACUGGGAAAAUAAAGAAGCCUCCUGACUGCUCCUCAUAUGAGCACGAGAACCCAAUGCAGCGAACGGCGGCCUGAAGCAGGUUAGGCUCCUUGCCUGUGGCCUGUGUGUGUGUGCGUGGUCAGUUGUAUCUGACUCUUUCCCACCCCAUGGACUGUAGCCCAUCAGGCUCCUUUGUCCUUGGGAGUUUCUAGGCAAGAUUACUGAAGUGGGUUGCCAUUUCCUCCUCCAGGGCAUCUUCCCAACUCAGGGAUCGAACCUGUAUCUCCUGCAUUGGCAGGUGGAUUCUUUACCACUGAGUCACCUGGCAAGACCAGUUUUACAGAUGGCUUUAUUGCUUGGCUCUGAUGGAAUGUUUGUUGAACAGACAAACAAUUCCUAUUUUUAAAGGAGUUGUUGACUUUAUAAUUAAAAAUCCCAGAAGGAAUACAUUAAGGUCGUGUGCAUCUCAGUGUGUUUUGAGGACUGUGGAUGUUCGCUGUAACUUUCAGGAUUUAGACAUUUAAAUCUUGCCAUAGAAAAUAUUUCUGAGCAAUGAAUGCAUUGCUAUCCAAGUGUCGAUCACCUACAAUUCUGCCAGAAACCAAGC
rnacentral:lncRNA from 1 species